GAUGAACGCUAGCGGCAGGCCUAACACAUGCAAGUCGAGGGGCAGCACAGAAACAGAAAUGUUUUGGUGGCGACCGGCGGACGGGUGCGUAACGCGUAUGCAACCUACCUUUAACAGGGGGAUAACGGAGAGAAAUUUCCACUAAUACCCCAUAACAUCGAUCAAGGCAUCUUGAUUGGUUGAAAACUCCGGUGGUUAAAGAUGGGCAUGCGUUGUAUUAGGUAGUUGGUGUGGUAAUGGCUCACCAAGCCAACGAUACAUAGGGGGACUGAGAGGUUAGCCCACCACAAUGGUACUGGUACACGGACCAGAGUCCUACGGGAGGAAGCAGUGAGGAAUAUUGGUCAAUGGGGGCAACCCUGAACCAGCCAUGCCGCGUGCAGGAAGACGGCUCUAUUAGUUGUAAACUGCUUUUAAACAGGGAUAAAGCACAGUAUGUAUACUGUGUUGAAGGUACUGUAAGAAUAAGGAUCGGCUAACUCCGUGCCAGCAGCCGCCGUAA
rnacentral:rRNA from 1 species